rnacentral:sRNA from 1 species
CCGUGGGGCAGGUUUUGGGUACAGUUGGCCGUGUCACGGUCCCGGGAGGUCGCGGUGACCUGUGGCUGGUCCCCGCCGGCAGGCG